rnacentral:rRNA from 1 species
UAAGGAAUAUUGGUCAAUGGACGCAAGUCUGAACCAGCCAUGCCGCGUGGAGGAUGAAGGUCCUCUGGAUUGUAAACUUCUUUUAUAUGGGACGAAAAAGGACUUUUCUAAGUCAACUGACGGUACCAUAUGAAUAAGCACCGGCUAACUCCGUGCCAGCAGCCGCGGUAAUACGGAGGGUGCAAGCGUUAUCCGGAUUCACUGGGUUUAAAGGGAGCGUAGGUGGGUUGGUAAGUCAGUGGUGAAAUCUCUGAGCUUAACUCGGAAACUGCCAUUGAUACUAUUAAUCUUGAAUACCGUGGAGGUCAGCGGAAUAUGUCAUGUAGCGGUGAAAUGCUUAGAUAUGACAUAGAACACCAAUUGCGAAGGCAGCUGGCUACACGAAUAUUGACACUCAGGCUCGAAAGCGUGGGGAUCAAACAGGAUUAGAUACCCCCGUAGUCC